rnacentral:rRNA from 1 species
ACGCUGUAAACGAUGUCGACUUGGAGGUUGUGCCCUNGAGGCGUGGCUUCCGGAGCUAACGCGUUAAGUCGACCGCCUGGGGAGUACGGCCGCAAGGUUAAAACUCAAAUGAAUUGACGGGGGCCCGCACAAGCGGUGGAGCAUGUGGUUUAAUUCGAUGCAACGCGAAGAACCUUACCUACUCUUGACAUCCACGGAACUUGCCAGAGAUGGCUUGGUGCCUUCGGGAACCGUGAGACAGGUGCUGCAUGGCUGUCGUCAGCUCGUGUUGUGAAAUGUUGGGUUAAGUCCCGCAACGAGCGCAACCCUUAUCCUUUGUUGCCAGCACUUCGGGUGGGAACUCAAAGGAGACUGCCGGUGAUAAACCGGAGGAAGGUGGGGAUGACGUCAAGUCAUCAUGGCCCUUACGAGUAGGGCUACACACGUGCUACAAUGGCGUAUACAAAGAGAAGCAAACUCGCGAGAGCCAGCGGACCUCAUAAAGUACGUCGUAGUCCGGAUUGGAGUCUGCAACUCGACUCCAUGAAGUCGGAAUCGCUAGUAAUCGUAGAUCAGAAUGCUACGGUGAAUACGUUCCCGGGCCUUGUACACACCGCCCGUCACACCAUGGGAGUGGGUUGCAAAAGAAGUAGGUAGCUUAACCUUCGGGAGGGCGCUUACCACUUUGUGAUUCAUGACUGGGGUG